rnacentral:rRNA from 1 species
UACGUAGGGGGCUAGCGUUGUCCGGAAUCACUGGGCGUAAAGGGCGCGUAGGCGGGAUGGCAAGUCGGUCGUGAAAUCCUUCGGCUCAACCGAAGAACGUCGGCCGAUACUGCCGUUCUUGAGGGAUGCAGAGGAGAUUGGAAUUCCCGGUGUAGCGGUGAAAUGUGUAGAGAUCGGGAGGAACACCGGUGGCGAAGGCGGGUCUCUGGGCAUCUCCUGACGCUGAGGCGCGAAAGCGUGGGGAGCAAACGGG